GACGAACCACACGAACGUUAUUCGGAAUUACUGGGCUUAAAGGGUGCGUAGGCGGCGCGGUAAGUAGGGUGUGAAAUCCCUCGGCUCAACCGAGGAACUGCGCUCUAAACUACCGUGCUUGAGGGAGGUAGAGGUGAGCGGAACUUAGGGCGGAGCGGUGAAAUGCGUUGAUAUCCUAAGGAACACCGGUGGCGAAAGCGGCUCACUGGAUCUCUUCUGACGCUGAGGCACGAAAGCUAGGGUAGCGAACGGG
rnacentral:rRNA from 1 species